CCCUUAGACGUUCUGGGCCGCACGCGCGCUACACUGACGAAGGCAACGAGCUACUCUUCACCGAAAGGUGUGGGUAAUCUUUUGAAACUUCGUCGUGCUGGGGAUAGAUCCUUGCAAUUUUUGAUCUUAAACGAGGAAUUCCUAGUAAGCGCAAGUCAUCAACUUGCGUUGAUUACGUCCCUGCCCUUUGUACACACCGCCCGUCACUACUACCGAUUGAGUGGUCCGGUGAGGCUUUGGGAUCUGAGCGGAAAGAGCGUUUCGCUGUUUCUGCUCGGAAAACUCAGUCGAACCUUAUCAUUUAGAGGAAGGAGAAGUCGUAACA
rnacentral:rRNA from 1 species